GAAUAUUGGACAAUGGGGGCAACCCUGAUCCAGCGACGCCGCGUGUGUGAAGAAGGCCUGCGGGUUGUAAAGCACUUUUAGUGGGGAUGAAAAGUACAUCGCUAAUACCGGUGUAUCUUGACCUAACCCAAAGAAAAAGCACCGGCUAACUUAGUGCCAGCAGCCGCGGUAAUACGAAGGGUGCAAGCGUUACUCGGAAUUACUGGGCGUAAAGCGUGCGUAGGUGGUUCGUUAAGUCUGAUGUGAAAGCCCUGGGCUCAACCUGGGAAUUGCAUUGGAUACUGGCGGGCUAGAGUGCGGUAGAGGAUGGCGGAAUUCCCGGUGUAGCAGUGAAAUGCGUAGAGAUCGGGAGGAACAUCCGUGGCGAAGGCGGCCAUCUGGACCAGCACUGACACUGAGGCACGAAAGCGUGGGGAGCAAAC
rnacentral:rRNA from 1 species